GACGAACGCUGGCGGCGUGCUUAACACAUGCAAGUCGAACGGAAAGGCCCUGCUUUUGUGGGGUGCUCGAGUGGCGAACGGGUGAGUAACACGUGAGUAACCUGCCCUUGACUUUGGGAUAACUUCAGGAAACUGGGGCUAAUACCGGAUAGGAGCUCCUGCUGCAUGGUGGGGGUUGGAAAGUUUCGGCGGUUGGGGAUGGACUCGCGGCUUAUGAGAUAGUUGGUGGGGUAGUGGCUUACCAAGGCGAUCACGGGUAGCGGGCCUGAGAGGGUGAACAGCAAAACUGGAACGGAGAGACGGGCCAGAAGCCGAAGGGAGGCAGGAGUGGGGAAGAUUGGACAAUGGGCGCAAGCGGGAUCCAGCCAUACCGCGUGGGUGAAGAAGGCCUUCGGGUGGUAAAGCCCUUUUGUUGGGAAAGAAAAGAAGCAGGUUAAUACCCCGAUGUUAUGACGGUACCAAAAGAAUAAGAAACGGCUAACUUCGUG
rnacentral:rRNA from 1 species